AGCUCAGUGAUUGCAGCCACUUUCAUUGGCAAUAUAAGCUAUGCUGACUAUUGUUUGAUGACAAAUAAUAAUGAGAGCU
rnacentral:snoRNA from 1 species